UACGUAGGUGGCAAGCGUUGUCCGGAUUUAUUGGGCGUAAAGAGCUCGUAGGUGGUUCGGUAAGUCAGGUGUGAAACCUCCAGGCUCAACCUGGAGACGCCACUUGAUACUGCUGUGACUGGAGUCCGGUAGGGGAGCGUGGAAUUCCUGGUGUAGCGGUGAAAUGCGCAGAUAUCAGGAGGAACAGCCAGCGGCGAAGGCGGCGCCUCUGGGCCGGUACUGACACUGAGGAGCGAAAGCGUGGGUAGCAAACAGG
rnacentral:rRNA from 1 species